rnacentral:rRNA from 1 species
UAUUUAUCUCGAAAUUUUAGAGUUACAUUAAUUUAUUAAAAAUAUAAUAAAAUUUUAAUUAAAUUUAAUGUAGUAAUUAUAUGUUAAUCGAUUAAAAUAAUAUCUAGUUUUUUUUGAAUAAAUUAAAUUUUUAUUAAUUUAAAUAAUUAAAUUAAAUUAAUUUAAUUAAUUAAGGCUUAGCUUAAUUAAUUUAUUAAAUUAUAAAAAAAAAUAAAUUAAAAUAAAUAGGAAUAAUAUUUUUCAUUUUUAUUUAAUUUAUUAUAAAAAUAAUUUUUAUUAAUAUAAAUUUUUUUUAUAUAAUUAAAUUUUUUAAAAAAAUUUAUUUUAUAAUAAGUUAAAAAUAUUUAUAAUGAUUAAAUUAGUAAAUUUUAAAUUUAUUAAUAAAAUUAAUAAAAAAAAUUAUUUUUAUGAAUUCGGCAAAAUUAUUUUCACCUGUUUAAUAAAAACAUGGUUAAUUGAAUUGAAUAAUUAAUUAAACCUGCCCAUUGAGUAAAAUUUAAAGGCUGCAGUAUAUUGACUGUACAAAGGUAGCAUAAUCAAUAGUUUUUUAAUUGAAAACUUGUAUGAAAGGUUUAAUGAAAAAUAAACUUUAUUAGUUUAAAAUAUUAAAUUUUUUAUUUAAGUGAAAAAACUUAAAUUUUUAAAAAAGACGAUAAGACCCUAUAAAAUUUUAUUACUUGUUAAAAUUUAAAAUUUUAAUAAUAAUUUAAUUGGGGUAAUUUAAAAUUUAUUUUUAUUUGUUUGUUCUUAUAAUUAUAAUAUUUAUUGAGCUUAAUUUUAAAUUAAAAGAAUAAAUUGCUUUAGGGAUAACAGCG